AUCCGGGGGCGGGGUGGAGGCGGGGAGAAGCCCCCACUGGGCACAGUGCCCCGGGGCUGGCUCUGUGGCUGAGCUUUGAUAUGGGGUGAGGGGGUUACUGCUGACAGCCGGGCUCCCUCACCCCCACCCAGGCUGCCCACGGACUGAACCACUAAUGACUCAGGCCCUGCCACCUGCUGGGAAGUCAGCUGGAAAGUUUUUUUCGUGAUUCAGGGAAUCCCCCGCUUACGGUUACCUUCAGAUAGAAAGUCUACCAGAUCCUUCUCCCCUGUGAUUGACAUUUCUCCAAACCAUAGACCAGGGAGGGGUGCUGAGGUCAGGGUCAGCGGGCCGAGGCACAGAGGUCUGGCCCUCAGUGCCCCUCCUGUGCUCUCUCUGACCUGUGCAGCGCCUCUGACCCCCAGAUCCCUCCACCCCACCUCCUGGCUAAGUGCUUAGUCUGUGGGGAGCCUGGCCCACAUUCCUGCCCAGCCACAGUGCCUGGGAAGGGAGACACAACAUGCAGCCGGCCUGGGGCCGGCCGGUCUGGGCAGGCUCAGUGGCACCCCCAUCUGUGAGCGGCCAGGCCCUGGUGGGAGAUGUGCCCUCGCGGUGGCCCAGCCCCGAUCAAAAGACCCCCAGGCUCAGGUCGGGAGCCCCUAGUCCCAGACGACACUCUCCUGGCUCAGCCACUCCCCAGCUAAGCCCAGAGCUCACCUCCCCCUCUUCCAGCUCGGCCGGGCUCAGCCCUCCCGGCUGCAGGGACCCCCUUUCUCCUAGGAACCGGGAGGGAACAGCCGCCUGGGACUUCCCUGGCCCCCUCCUGGGCCCAGCUGCAGCCACAACCGGCUCUGCCCCGCCGCUUGCUGGCGGCUGCCCGCACUGCGCCUCCGGGCACGGCUCCGGGGUCGCUCCCGGCCGCGCGCGGGCUCACCCCGACCCCCGGCCCGGCGCCCGCGCUCAGGGCUUGCUUCUCCGGCCAGGGCCGCCCGCGUCCCCCCACCGGCUCCUGGGGGCUCCUCGGGACCCCUGCGCGGCUCCGACUCCCUCGCCUCCAGCCCCUGCUCCCGCCAGAUGCACUGCACACCCGGGGCCUCGGUUUCCCCAGCAGGAAAGGAGCGUGCAGAGCCCAGAGAUGCGGAAAUCGAGGCACAACUGGGUUCGCUCUCAUGCUCCAGACGCCGCCCCCCAACGCACGCGGGGAUUCGCCCAAGCGGGCGGGCGUUUGCGACCCCGGGGAUCGCCACCGAGCCCCAGGGUCUCCUCCCGCGACCCCGCAGGGCAGGGCCUGCCCCGAAGGUGGUGCCUUCUCAACCUGUGCCAUCAUCACCAAGGACAGAGGACGGGUGGCUUCAUACCAUCAGUGGCCACCAGGGGGCGCUUGCUUCAGGUGCAGCGUUAGAGCGCAUCAGGACCCCUGAGCUGGGGGCUGGGCUGGGCUGGGCCUGGGAGCAGAGGAGAGGCUCCUGGAGAGCUCUGCCAGGUGGUCACUGCGAGCCCACUUCCCAGGCGAGGAGACUGAGGCCAGAGAAGGGGCGCGACCCACCUGGCUCUCGGGAGCCUAAGGUCUGCGUCUUCAAGGUUUCACCGAGCCCGACUUGGAUCUGCCGCGUCGCCACUACCUUGCUGUGUGACUCUGGGAAAGUCGCCUGACC
rnacentral:lncRNA from 1 species